rnacentral:tRNA from 1 species
CUCUAAGAAGCUAUACCUAGCAUUGGCCUUUUAAGCCAAAGAUGGGCAACAAACAUUGCCCCUUAGAGG